UCCGGGGUCGUCCAAUGGCAGGACAACGGCCUUUGGCGCCGUUGAUCGGGGUUCGAAUCCCUGCCCCGGAACCA
rnacentral:tRNA from 1 species